rnacentral:rRNA from 1 species
GAUGAACGCUGACAGAAUGCUUAACACAUGCAAGUCAACUUGAACUUCGGUUUGGGUGGCGGACGGGUGAGUCACGCGUAAAGAACUUGCCUCACAGAUAGGGACAACAUUUGGAAACGAAUGCUAAUACCUGAUAUUAUGAUUAUAUGGCAUCGUAUAAUUAUGGAAGCUAUAUGCGCUGUGAGAGAGCUUUGCGUCCCAUUAGCUAGUUGGAGAGGUAACGGCUCACCAAGGCGAUGAUGGGUAGCCGGCCUGAGAGGGUGAUCGGCCACAAGGGGACUGAGACACGGCCCUUACUCCUACGGGAGGCAGCAGUGGGGAAUAUUGGACAAUGGACCAAGAGUCUGAUCCAGCAAUUCUGUGUGCACGAUGAAGUUUUUCGGAAUGUAAAGUGCUUUCAGUUGGGAAGAAAAAAAUGACGGUACCAACAGAAGAAGUGACGGCUAAAUACGUG